AAUACAGUGCUUUACAACAGUUAACACUACCUCAGUGUGCUUUACUUUUGUUAUAUAGGUUUAGUCCAAUUAUUUAUAUACAGGGUAUGUUUUUUACAAUUAGAGCACAGACAGAUUAAGUGAUUUAUUUAGGAUCUUGCAUUAUGUCAACACAUGGUAACCUGAAGCAGAAAUCCUAUGCUUAUUAGUCAAAACUUUUAACCAUAACGCCAGACAAUUUAACUACAAUAUCUCCUUUAUAAUACAGUAUCACAAAGGUAUGGCACUACAUGCAUGAAGUCAAUGCUAAUACCUGGCAGUGUGAAUAUAGCAAACAGACAGUCCUAUGCACCUAGGCAUGUGGAUGGUGAAUGC